UACGGAGGGGGCGAGCGUUAUUCGGAAUUACUGGGCGUAAAGGGCGCGUAGGCGGUGGGUUACGUCUGCCGUGAAAUCCCCGGGCUCAACCUGGGAAUGGCGGUGGAAACGGGCUGACUGGAGUACGGGUGAGGGUGGUGGAAUUUCAGGUGUAGCGGUGAAAUGCGUAGAGAUGUGAAGGAAGACCCGUGGCGAAGGCGGUCAGCUGGCCCAAUACUGACGCUGAGGCGCGACAGCGUGGGGAGCAAACAGG
rnacentral:rRNA from 1 species